rnacentral:rRNA from 1 species
UAGUCCACGCCCUAAACGAUGCUUACUUGAUAUUCCGGCUUUAUGUUGGAGUGUCCAAGGGAAACCGAUAAGUAAGCCACCUUGGGAGUACGUCGGCAACGAUGAAACUCAAAGGAAUUGACGGGGGCCCGCACAAGCGGAGGAACAUGUGGUUUAAUUCGAUGAUACGCGAGGAACCUUACCUAGGCUAGAAUGUGAGCGCUAUUUGCCGAAAGGCGAAGUUCCUUCGGGACGUGAAACAAGGUGCUGCAUGGUUGUCGUCAGCUCGUGCCGUGAGGUGUUGGGUUAAGUCCCGCAACGAGCGCAACCCCUAUCGCUAGUUGCCAGCAUUAAGUUGGGGACUCUAGCGAGACUGCCGGCGCAAGCCGAGAGGAAGGUGGGGAUGACGUCAAAUCAUCAUGGCCUUUAUGCCUAGGGCGACACACGUGCUACAAUGGUCAGGACAAAGGGUAGCCAAACCGCGAGGUGGAGCCAAUCUCAAAAAGCCGUUACUCAGUUCGGAUUGGAGUCUGCAACUCGA